rnacentral:rRNA from 1 species
GACGUAGGGCGCGAGCGUUGUCCGGAUUUAUUGGGCGUAAAGAGCUCGUAGGCGGCUUGUCGCGUCGACUGUGAAAACCCGCGGCUCAACUGCGGGCCUGCAGUCGAUACGGGCAGGCUAGAGUUCGGUAGGGGAAACUGGAAUUUACGGUGUAGCAGUGAAAUGCGUAGAGAUCGUAAGGAAGACCAGUGGCGAAGGCGAGUUCUGGACGGUAACUGACACUGAGGCACGAAGGCCAGGGGGAGCAAAACG